rnacentral:rRNA from 1 species
GAUGAACGCUAGCUACAGGCUUAACACAUGCAAGUCGAGGGGCAGCAUGAACAUAGCUUGCUAUGUUUGAUGGCGACCGGCGCACGGGUGCGUAACACGUAUCCAAUCUACCCAUGGCUCGGGGAUAGCCUUUCGAAAGAAAGAUUAAUACCCGAUGAGCUCGGUUUAAGGCUUCUUAGACUGAGUAAAGAUUUAUCGGCGAUGGAUGAGGAUGCGUCUGAUUAGGUAGAUGGCGGGGUAACGGCCCACCAUGCCUACGAUCAGUAGGGGUUCUGAGAGGAAGGGCCCCCACAUUGGAACUGAGACACGGUCCAAACUCCUACGGGGGGCAGCAGUGAGGAAUAUUGGUCAAUGGACGAGAGUCUGAACCAGCCAAGUAGCGUGAAGGAUGACUGCCCUAUGGGUUGUAAACUUCUUUUGUUUGGGAAUAAAGUUCGGGACGUGUCCCGUUUUGUAUGUACCAUUCGAAUAAGCAUCGGCUAAUUCCGUGCCAGCCGCCGCCGUAAAAC